CUGUCACUUAUAGAUGGAUCCGCGCUGCAUUAGCUAGUUGGUAAGGUAACGGCUUACCAAGGCAACGAUGCAUAGCCGACCUGAGAGGGUGAUCGGCCACACUGGAACUGAGACACGGUCCAGACUCCUACGGGAGGCAGCAGUAGGGAAUCUUCCGCAAUGGGCGAAAGCCUGACGGAGCAACGCCGCGUGAGUGAUGAAGGUCUUCGGAUCGUAAAACUCUGUUAUUAGGGAAGAACAUAUGUGUAAGUAACUGUGCACAUCUUGACGGUACCUAAUCAGAAAGCCACGGCUAACUACGUGCCAGCAGCCGCGGUAAUACGUAGGUGGCAAGCGUUAUCCGGAAUUAUUGGGCGUAAAGCGCGCGUAGGCGGUUUUUUAAGUCUGAUGUGAAAGCCCACGGCUCAACCGUGGAGGGUCAUUGGAAACUGGAAAACUUGAGUGCAGAAGAGGAAAGUGGAAUUCCAUGUGUAGCGGUGAAAUGCGCAGAGAUAUGGAGGAACACCAGUGGCGAAGGCGACUUUCUGGUCUGUAACUGACGCUGAUGUGCGAAAGCGUGGGGAUCAAACAGGAUUAGAUACCCUGGUAGUCCACGCCGUAAACGAUGAGUGCUAAGUGUUAGGG
rnacentral:rRNA from 1 species